GUACUCUGGUUUCUCUGCAUUCGCAUAAAUCUUUCGCCUUUUACUAAAGAUUUCCGUGCAGUGGAACAAUUUAAUGAGUCUAUAGACUAAUUUUUUACUGCCCAGUCGAAAGAUUGGGCU
rnacentral:snRNA from 1 species